AUCGUAGAUAAGGAACAGAGAGAAUAGUUAUUGCUUUGUGUAAAAAAGAUUUCAAUGGAGUUUUUCAAAGGAAAGCUGCAUUUCGAUGGGAGCAAAUCUUCUGGCAAUAGAAACUAAAGUUGAGAAAAUAUGGAAAACAUGGAUUCAAGUCAAAGCCCCUGGGGAUAUUUAGUGGAUCGGGGGUACUGAUUUAAACUCGGAAGGCACGUUUCACUGGGAACACUCUUCCAAGAAAAUGACGUACACAAACUGGGAUUAUGAUCAGCCAGACGAUGAUACAAACGAAAUAAAUGAAAAUUGCGUAACAAUGGUUGAAUAUGGAUACUGGCAUGACUAUUCAUGCAGUAAAACGUUUUACUAUAUUUGUGAAAAAUAGCUGAA